AGAGUUUGAUCCUGGCUCAGGAUGAACGCUAGCGGCAGGCUUAAUACAUGCAAGUCGAGGGGCAGCAUGACUGUAGCAAUACAGUUGAUGGCGACCGGCAAACGGGUGCGGAACACGUACAGAACCUUCCUUCGAGCGGGGAAUAGCCCAGAGAAAUUUGGAUUAAUACCCCAUAGUAUUACGGAGUGGCAUCACUUUGUAAUUAAAGAUUUAUCACUUGAAGAUGGCUGUGCGGCUGAUUAGGUAGUUGGCGGGGUAACGGCCCACCAAGCCUGCGAUCAGUAACUGGUGUGAGAGCACGACCAGUCACACGGGCACUGAGACACGGGCCCGACUCCUACGGGAGGCAGCAGUAAGGAAUAUUGGUCAAUGGACGCAAGUCUGAACCAGCCAUGCCGCGUGGAGGAUGAAGGUCCUCUGGAUUGUAAACUUCUUUUAUAUGGGACGAAAAAGGGCCUUUCUAGGUCAACUGACGGUACCAUGUGAAUAAGCACCGGCUAACUCCGUGCCAGCAGCCGCGGUAAUACGGAGGGUGCAAGCGUUAUCCGGAUUCACUGGGUUUAAAGGGUGCGUAGGUGGGUUGGUAAGUCAGUGGUGAAAUCCCCGAGCUUAACUUGGGAACUGCCAUUGAUACUAUCAGUCUUGAAUACCGUGGAGGUCAGCGGAAUAUGUCAUGUAGCGGUGAAAUGCUUAGAUAUGACAUAGAACACCAAUUGCGAAGGCAGCUGGCUACACGAAUAUUGACACUGAGGCACGAAAGCGUGGGGAUCAAACAGGAUUAGAUACCCUGGUAGUCCACG
rnacentral:rRNA from 1 species